rnacentral:rRNA from 1 species
AUUCCAGCUCCAAUAGCGUAUAUUUAAGUUGUUGCAGUUAAAAAGCUCGUAGUUGGAUUUCGGAUGGGUUUGACCGGUCCGCCUUUGGUGUGCACUGGUCGCGCCUAUCUUGCUGCCGGGGACGUGCUCUUGGGCUUCGGCUCGGGACACGGAGUCGGCGAGGUUACUUUGAGUAAAUUAGAGUGUUCAAAGCAGGCCUACGCUCUGAAUACAUUAGCAUGGAAUAACACGAUAGGACUCUGGCCUAUCUUGUUGGUCUGUAGGACCGGAGUAAUGAUUAAGAGGGACAGUCGGGGGCAUUCGUAUUUCAUUGUCAGAGGUGAAAUUCUUGGAUUUAUGAAAGACGAACUACUGCGAAAGCAUUUGCCAAGGAUGUUUUCAUUA